rnacentral:rRNA from 1 species
GAGUUUGAUCAUGGCUCAGAUUGAACGCUGGCGGCAUGCUUUACACAUGCAAGUCGGACGGCAGCACAAAGAAGCUUGCUUCUUGGGUGGCGAGUGGCGAACGGGUGAGUAACGCAUCGGAACGUACCGAGUAGUGGGGGAUAACUGUCCGAAAGGAUGGCUAAUACCGCAUACGCUUUGAGAAGGAAAGCGGGGGAUCUUCGGACCUCGCGCUAUUCGAGCGGCCGAUGUCUGAUUAGCUGGUUGGUGGGGUAAAGGCCUACCAAGGCGACGAUCAGUAGCGGGUCUGAGAGGAUGAUCCGCCACACUGGGACUGAGACACGGCCCAGACUCCUACGGGAGGCAGCAGUGGGGAAUUUUGGACAAUGGGCGCAAGCCUGAUCCAGCCAUGCCGCGUGUCUGAAGAAGGCCUUCGGGUUGUAAAGGACUUUUGUCAGGGAAGAAAAGCUUGAGGCUAAUACCCUUGAGUGAUGACG